GCUUCGGUAGCUCAGUCGGUAGAGCAGGGGACUGAAAAUCCCCGUGUCGGUGGUUCAAUUCCGCCCCGAAGCACCA
rnacentral:tRNA from 1 species